rnacentral:rRNA from 1 species
GACGAACGCUGGCGGCGUGCCUAACACAUGCAAGUCGAACGAGGUAGCAAUACCUAGUGGCAGACGGGUGAGUAACGCGUGGUCAACCUACCGUUGAGUGGGGGAUAACUAGCCGAAAGGUUAGCUAAUACCGCAUACGUCUCCGAGGGGCAUCCCUUGGCGAUAAAAGGAGCAAUCCGCUCGAUGACGGGACCGCGUCCCAUUAGCUAGAUGGUGGGGUAACGGCCUACCAUGGCACCGANGGGUAGCUGGUUUGAGAGAGCGACCAGCCACACUGGGACUGAGAAACGGCCCAGACUCCUACGGGAGGCAGCAGUGAGGAAUUUUCCGCAAUGGGCGCAAGCCUGACGGAGCGACGCCGCGUGUGGGAAGAAGGCC